rnacentral:tRNA from 1 species
GCGAGAGUGGCGGAAUUUGGUAGACGCGCUGGACUUAGGAUCCAGUGGUUCACACCGUGGGGGUUCGAGUCCCCCCUCUCGCA